AGUGAUUUUAUCAGCAGAAAUUAAUAAGUAAUCUGCCCUUAUGAGUUUUAAAAGGCAGUGCCUUUUGAAUUUCUUUAGAGGCAAUUAGAUUUAAAUUCCAGAAAUUGUCCACACAAAAGAAGAUCCAAUGAAUCUACUCUAGUAAGUGAACAAUUAUAGUAAUGUUAUAACACAGGCAUGUAUCAUAGAACCCACUGUGUGACAUCACAAAGUAUUGGGUUUUAUCACUGAAACCUCAGUAACUAGGAUAGUCCUGACAUGGCAACUCUACUCCUAGAUGGAGUCUACACUCUGAAAGAGAAGUUUGUGUUGGGGAUAUAUCUAUUUCCUGCAACAGUGCAAAAUAUCAAAAAGGGGUCUGGAGAAACUCUUACAGACCUUUUUUUUGGCUUAAAUUACUUUGAGAAGCUCCAAGAACAUCUGAAAUCAAAAGAAGAGAAAAGUCCAAGCUGGACUGUGUUCUUGCUUUCUCAACUACCUAUUCCAGGGUUGGGCAAACUGAUCCUCCAGAACACCUAGAGGGCAGACGUUUUCCCAUACUUCACCUAUACAGCAGCUAUUUCCAAUUCUCCACUAACAGUGCUUUCGAAGGUUACCGUGUUUCCCUGAAAAUAAGACACUGUCUUAUACAUAUUUUCCUCAAGAAGACCCACUAUGACUUCUUAUCAGGG
rnacentral:lncRNA from 11 species